CCUUCCCCUGGUUGUCCCCUCCUCUCGCCGGCACAGGAGCCCACCGCCGCCUCACCCAGCCGGCCCGGACCGCCAGCGCUUUGUGUACCGCAGUGAGGAGAGGGGCGGAGGGGGCGCUCACCAACCCCAAAGGCCGGGUGGUCUCGGAGGCCGGCGGGAGGUGAGACUGCCCCCGCCCCUUGGCCUCCUUUCCCCUCCUCCCGCGUUUGCGGCCCCCUCUGCGGCGCUCGGGGCGCAAAGGGAGCCGCCACUGGGCCGAGUCGGCAGUCAGCACAGCCGCCGGCGACCACCUAUUGUUUCUCGGUCCGGGAUCCAGAGGCGGCUGACGUUCAGGCCGGGGCUCGUGUCUUCUCACCUCCCCAUCCAACCUGCCCCUCCUGAGAAGGUCUAGGCAGGGUGUCUGCCCAGGGAGGAGAGCGGAUCGCUGCUGACGGAGGAACGGGGGUGUUGAGGUUGGCAUUAACUCAUGAGGCCUCUUUGCUCAAGCUGGCCUCAGAAGUGGGCAAGGGUUGUUUCCCGGCUUAAGAGGCGGUGGUUACGGCGGCUGCUCCUACGGAUAUUGCGCAAGACUGGGGCGUUGGAAACCCUGGAGGUCUGAGGAAUGGAAAAGGAAGUGGGACUUUGGGAAGUGGUUGCUCCUUAGCCUUGGCGGGAUUUGGGAAUGGGAAAUAAACUAGGAAAAAUUUUGCUCCUGGGCAAGCUACACCUCCAAGAAUAAUCAACCCGAAAUUCUCAAUUGUAAAAAUAACACACAGUAAAUGUAUACAAAAAUGAA